rnacentral:rRNA from 1 species
GACGUAGGGCGCGAGCGUUGUCCGGAUUUAUUGGGCGUAAAGAGCUCGUAGGCGGCUUGUCGCGUCGACUGUGAAAACCCGCGGCUCAACCGCGGGCCUGCAGCCGAUACGGGCAGGCUAGAGUUCGGUAGGGGAGACUGGAAUUCCUGGUGUAGAGGUGAAAUUCGUAGAUAUCAGGAGGAACACCAGCGGCGAAGGCGGCUUCCUGGCCCAAUACUGACGUUGAGGUACGAAAGCGUGGGUAGCAAACAGG